CCUUGGGUUUUGGGACUCACCAAAUACCUCAGGCAGUCAUUGCCAGGCAGUGCCAGACCCUGCCCUUCGGGACCGCCACCGCAGACAGCACAGAGAGUCACCACCUUCUGCAGCGAGGGCGGCUGUCUCUCUGCAAGCUUACGUGGUGGCAGCAUUGUCUGCAGCAGACAAGCCUGCUUUUCUGAAGAGUGGUCCCUAAACAUUCCAUCUCGCUCCCUCUCUUUCAGUGUUUGACGGAAUUGUUGCUGAAACUGAGACCUGAAGGUCUGGUCAGAAGGCGUCCCUGGGCCACCCACCGGAGUGCACAGCCUCUUAUAAGAGAAAAUGCUUCACAGAGCAAAACCGACCAUAUUUGAAGAUACAGUUAGCAGGUGACUCCUAGCUCAAGAAUGAAAGGGACUCUGUCUGUUUAAUCUCUGCUCAGGGUCAAGAAAUAGAAAGCCCAACUCAGAAGACCUCAGAUAAUAAAGAGAUUUACGAACUCUUAGGUCCUGAAGAGCAGAAGGAGCCGGGUGGGCUGUGCUGCUGCUUUGCUGGCUUGUGUGAGCAAGUGAUGAACAGCGUUCUUAAUCUCUCUGCUCUGACUCCAUCCUCUCUGGAAACACCACCGCAAGCCAACCUGCUCUCUCCCACGUGCCUCAUGGAGCAAGCACAGCUAUUCCUACUGAGCAAAGGAGGACGAGAGAACGGCUUUUCAGAGAUCACGGAGGAGUUGGCUGUUCUUCCCUCUUUGCCUUCUACGGGGUUCGCAUCAAAAAGACCACACUCUCCAAGCUCCUUCUCCCUGGGCCCAAGAAGGUUCCCCUGUGAACCUGCCACUCCACCUGGUAGACUGUUUACUAAAGGAGGCCAUGCCAGGAAACACACUGGACACGUGACUGAAGACUCAUGGUGGAAGACUUCCUCUGAAAUACAUCUACUCUCUGCAGGACCUGUUUUCUUUCGAGAGGGGAGAGGCCUCAGACAGGGCCUGGCAUGAUGGGUGAGCUCAAAAGAUUCUGGGAAGAGCCACACAUGCUGGACAACCAGGAAGGGCCCUUGGAAGCCCCAGCUACCUGAGCUAUCUGACCCACCCACCCAUUUCUUCCUCCCGAAUCUGCUGGCUCAGGAAGGGCAGCGAGGCCAUAUCCAGAAGUCUCUCUCUUCCCCAAAUCUACUGCCAUCAACCUCAGUUGGAAUCCAAAUAAGCCAAACCCUGGUUUGUUCGACCACAGAAGAGAUGGCCCUGACCUGAACUAAAGCCACAGGCAAGAGUAGAGAGAAGACAGGCCCAACUGAACCAAGAAGACAGAGUCUUCCCACCCGGAGCUGGGCACUUCAGACUCAGAGCAGAGUGACCACACUGUCCCUACUCUCAGAGAAAAGUCAUCUUCUGGUGGGAAGAAAAGGAACCAGUAACUCUGAAUCUGUAUCAGGAACUACGAGGCCAGAAAGAGAUCCCAGUGAAGUCCCCAGGGAAGAGGAGAGUAGAGCUGAACCCUAAGAAUGGAUGCCAGGCAACUUUGCUUAAAGGGGAAGUGGUAUCCAUCUGGGAAGGAGAGACCAGAGGGAAGGGUGGGUGGUGCAUGAGGAACCCAGAGGAGUGGAGAUCCCGUGGAGGAAUGCGAAGGGCUUUCUGAGGCAGGGAUGGGCUGGAGAGGAGGAACAAGAAGACGGUCCGGUUCUGUGGGUCAGCUUGAAGAAACAGCAAGAGAUCCAAAGGUGUGUUAAAGCAUGCGGCAGGGCAGAGAUGGGUGUGCGUUUUGACAGGUGUAUGUUGCGUCUGUGUGGGGGCUAAUUUUCUUCGAGGGAUGAUGGUAAACUAAAGUCACCAGAAACAGAGAACAGUCUAGUAGGUAAGGUUGGGACCCACAGCGCUUGCCAUGAAGUUAUGGUAGGAAUUAUGGCAGAAGAAGUAGAAAUAGAGAGACAGUCAACUAGAGGGAGGAUCUUUGUUAUGGGCAAAUUAGCUGCUGGCAUUCUCUCUCUCUCUCUCUAUCUCUCUCUCCUUCUCUCUGGCACUGGGAUUGAACCUAAGACCUUACACAUUCGUAGGCAAGCAGUCUACAACUGAAAUUUACUCCCAAUCCCUUUUAAAUGUUUUGAUUUUUGAUAUGGGUCUGGCUAAGAUGGCUAAGAUGACCUUGAACUGGUUCUGUAGCCCAGGCAGGUCUUGAACUUGUGAUCCUCUUGUUUCAUUCUUUCCGGUAGCUGCCAUACAGGCUUGGAACACCAGACCUGACUUUAGUCUUUUUUUAUUUUUAAUUUCUAGGUAAAGUUGAGUGGCCCAACAAUUUCCACCCAAGCAUUUCCAGAUCUCAAAAUGACCAUUGGCCGGUAAGGGUAAAAUACAACGUGGACCUCCAAGUACUUCCAGCACAGAACACUUGUCUGGAACUGAGAAGCAUCCUCAUGAUUUAAGAAAGAAAGCCCAAGCUGAAUGUGCUUGUAAUCCCAGCAUUUGGAAGGCUGGGGCAGGAGGCUCACGACUACAAGGCUAGUCUGGACUACAUAGCAAGGUCCUGUGUCAAACUGAAACAGAAGAAACCAUUCAGAAUGGAAGAGGGAGGCAGAGAAGGGCAUGGCCCAUCCCUCCUACUGGCAACAGGGCCUCCUGCUGCUCUUUCUGUCCUAGGGAAGCUGCAGCAGCUGCAGCAGGGGCAGCCUUCUGGUUGGCGUCUCCAGAUUCAAGUUACAAAUAGCUGGACACAAGCAUUCGGAGCUCAGCGAUCUUGUCUGUACACAAGGUGACACCCGAAGCUUUGGAACGGGGUGGGGACCCAACCACACUUGUGAGAAAGCCACAUACUUUUUCCAGAAGCCCACAGUCGAUAGUGGGAAGUGCCUGCUGGCAGGAAGCUUUUAAGUUCCCCGGACCAUUAGACACAGCAGACGUGACCUGAGCAAACAUCUCUUAGAGUCAAAAUAUGAAUGGAUAAUGGGAUUUAUGAAAGGGAGGAUCAAUGAGGCAUUGUAAUGCACAAAUACAGAGGUACGCAGAUGCUCCAGGAGGCAGCUGGACGUGGAUUACACCUUGAGCUGGUCUUUGUAAAAGCUCACCUGACGGCGUGGAACCACUUUCCUGGCAUCUGGAGCUCCCGGCUCAUCCUGAGGGAUUUGGGGACUGGGCCUAGUGUUACGGCGGCAGGGAAGCUGAGCCCUGCCUGUAUUGAAUAAGUAUGCAGUUGGUUCCCUUCAAGGAGCAAACAUUUGUGACUUGGACUCACCCCCUUCCGUAUUCCUGGUUUUAAAACUCUGAUCUGGCAAUUCAACAAUUCACCA